AUGAUUUUUUUUUUAAAGAGCAGACUAAAGGCUUUCUGGUGUCGGCCCCGCAGCCCCUCCAGCUCGAAUAAUGGAGAGAUUGUCGCGCACUCCGCGCGCAGCGGCCCAUUGUAUGCAGCUGAUGGCAAGGAGGCGACCGGGGGUGGCAGGGCUCCUGGCCCUAGCCCCUGUGCCCAAAUUCACGCGCUCACGUCUCCUGGGCAGGGAAAAGGUGGAAGGAACCGGAUUAAAAUACAUGAGGGAAGGAGGGCGGGUGGGAGGGAAGGAGGAAAGGAAGAAAAGAAGAAUGAAUUUGUAUACAAAUUCUACGUUUUCCUCCCCGUGCAGUCAGAGGCAGGGAGCGGAGAGCCCAGGCAGCAGGCAGAUUGCUGGAGAUGCAGAGGGAAAGGCGCGGAGAGGCGGAGAGGGUGGGCGAGAAAGCGCGAGCGCGCGGGGCGCCGGGGCCUCGACUGGACGCCGGGUGGGUGCGCCGGCCCAGCCGCCUCCGACCCCGGACCGCGCGUCGUGGGCACCAGAAGCGACACUCGCCACAGUCCGGCCCCAGCAGACAGGGAUGGAGGAGCGGAAAUACCGUCACCUCUCGGUACUGAUUGCCGGGAAUUGGUGCUCCAGAUGUUGCACUGGAAGCGCUGCGAGUGUGAGCAGGUGGCAGUAGCUCGAAUCACAGCUUGUAGCAGAUGUUCUCAAUAUUUCUGUUGAAAUUUCCUGAUCUCUACCUGCAAGAGGAGCCUCAGAGCUUCAUCUUGGUGGUACCUGUCAUCAUUGGUAUGAGGCUAUACUUUCCCACCCAUGCUUCCUGUUCUAGCGCAGCAGCUGGGUUAGAAUUGAGCUGUUUGUUUCACAAAUAACUCGGGAGAACUGAAGGAAAAAUGUCUCAGUAAUAUCAAAACUGUGACUUAUUUGAGCUUGCGUAUUAUGCCUUGUUAUUUUUAUACCUCUUUGUGGAAACUUCAGAGAAGUCCUUGCUUAUUAUAAGGUCUUAGCAUUGUGGUUCUGCUUGAAUUUUAUUGUCAUCCACUGCUUCUAUUGAUUUUUAAGUUUUGGUCUAAUUUCUUAUUUUCUUAAAUAAUAAAGAG
rnacentral:lncRNA from 1 species